CCCACCCCUGCCCGCAAGAGGACAACCCCCUUUGACUGUAAUUUUCCACUACCUACCCAAAUCCUAUAAAAUUGCCCCAACCCUAACUCCCUUUGCUAACUCUCUUUUCCGACUCACCCCGCCUGCACCCAGGUGAUUAAAAAGCUUUAUUGCUCACACAAAGCCUGUUUGGUGGUCUCUUCACACGGACGCACUUGACAUUUGGUGCCGAAGACCCAGGACAGGGAGACUCCUUCGGAAGACAGGUCCCCUGUCCUCACCAUCACUCCAUGAGGAGAUCCACCUAAGACCUCGGGUCCUCAGACCAGCUCAAGGAAUACCUUACCAACUUCAAAUCGGACAGGAUUGUCAGGCCUCUGAGCCCAAGCCUGCACCUGUACAUCCAGAUGGACUGAGGAAACUGCAGAACCACAAAAGAAGUGAAAAUGGCCAGUUCCUGACUUAACUGAUGACAUUACCUUGUGAAAUUCCUUCUCCUGGACAAUGAGUCUCAGAAGUUCCCCACUGAGCACCUUGUGACCCCCACCCCUGCCCGCAAGAGAACAACCCCCUUUGAGUGUAAUUUUCCACUACCUACCCAACUCCUAUAAAACUGCCCCACCCCUAACUCCCUUUGCUGUCUCUUUUUCUGACUCAGCCCACCUGCACCCAGGUGAUUAAACAGUUUUUUUGCUCACACAAA